rnacentral:lncRNA from 1 species
AGAAGUUAUAAUUCAUAUGAUGAUAACCCAGGCUGCAAGAAGAGACAUGACUCAAUAACAGAAAAAUAUAUAAAUAAACCUAACAUUUCCUUCAUGUGCAUAAAUCAGCUGGGAGUUCUUCCUUUACAUAAGAUGUUGAAUUUGAGUGGAUCUAGUUAUUCAUUAUGACAGGUUGUAAUUAGUUUGCAUUUGCUUGAGAUUCUUCUACUUGCAGGAAUAAAGAAAAUAUUUGUAUGAAAGGAAACCAGAGGACCUUUGACCGACCUAACCCACUGGUCUGUCUGGAGAUACUGCCAAAUUCAUUGAAAUAAUAGUGAUUCACCACUGCUCUGGCUCAUAAAGAUGCACUAAGACUCUGAUCUGGGAAGUCAGUGGGAUUUUUGCCAUGAUGAGUCAGUAUAACUCAUGUUGCAUUAAAUGAGUGGACAUAAGGUAUAUUUCAGGACCUGAUCUGUCCUUGUGCUGUCUCCUGUGAUGGUACAUAGAAUUUCUGUGAAGCAGCAUGCUAUGGACUUUGUCAUUAUCUCAAUACCUGGACACUAUGCUAUCAUCCAGAAACACAGAACAAAUGCCAUUCAUUCUUUUCAAGCUGGUGCUUUCCUGACUGCUGUUUUAGGAAUUUAUUGAGAGGAAUGGGCAGACUGAUAAUAUAUGUAUUUUUUGUGAGUAUCUGUUGUUAUUAGCAUUAAUCUUUUGACUUCCUAUCACAUUGCAGAACAGAAUGGUUUUGUUUUGCCUAGGUACUGUAACAUGUGUUAUAGAGAAUUUAAUUUAGUUUUUAUAUUUUGCAUUUUUGGGGCUGAUUUUUUUUUUUUUUUUUUG